rnacentral:rRNA from 1 species
GUGCCAGCAGCCGCGGUAAUACGAAGGGUGCUAGCGUUGUUCGGAAUUACUGGGCGUAAAGGGCGCGUAGGCGGCUUAACAAGUUGGAUGUGAAAGCCCAGGGCUCAACCCUGGAAUUGCAUUCAAGACUGUUUUGCUUGAAUUCGGUAGAGGUUGGUAGAAUUCCCAGUGUAGAGGUGAAAUUCGUAGAGAUUGGGAAGAAUACCCGUGGCGAAGGCGACCAACUGGACCGACAUUGACGCUGAGGCGCGAAAGCGUGGGGAUCAAACAGGAUUAGAUACCCCGGUAGUCC